GGCGGGCCUGUUCCGUCGCCCCGUUCCCCUUCCCCCACGAACAAAACCCCGGCGCACGAUGCGCCAAGGAAUCGCAACGAGAAAAGGAACGAGCACCCGUUGCGCGCCGGGAACGGAAUGCGCACGGGCGGCCUCGUAUUCUUUGAAAACAAAACGACUCUCGGCAACGGAUAUCUCGGCUCUCGCAUCGAUGAAGAACGUAGCGAAAUGCGAUACUUGGUGUGAAUUGCAGAAUCCCGUGAACCAUCGAGUCUUUGAACGCAAGUUGCGCCCGAAGCCUUCGGGCCGAGGGCACGUCUGCCUGGGUGUCAUGCACCGUCGCCCCCCAUCCCCACUCCCCCGAGGGGAGUCGGGAAGCCCGGGGCGGACAAUGGCCUCCCGUGCGCUCUCGCUCGCGGUUGGCCUAAAUCCGAGUUGUUGGCGGCGAGCGCCACGGCAAGCGGUGGUUGGAAAGACCCUCUGAAGUGCCG
rnacentral:rRNA from 1 species